UGGGGAAUUUUCCGCAAUGGGUGAAAGCCUGACGGAGCAACGCCGCGUGAGGGACGAAGGCCUCUGGGCUGUAAACCUCUUUUCUCAAGGAAGAAGAUAUGACGGUACUUGAGGAAUAAGCCACGGCUAAUUCCGUGCCAGCAGCCGCGGUAAUACGGGAGUGGCAAGCGUUAUCCGGAAUUAUUGGGCGUAAAGCGUCCGCAGGCGGCUUUUCAAGUCUGCUGUUAAAGCGUGGAGCUUAACUCCAUCAUGGCAGUGGAAACUGAAAGGCUUGAGUAUGGUAGGGGCAGAGGGAAUUCCCGGUGUAGCGGUGAAAUGCGUAGAUAUCGGGAAGAACACCAGUGGCGAAGGCGCUCUGCUGGGCCAUUACUGACGCUCAUGGACGAAAGCCAGGGGAGCGAAAGGGAUUAGAUACCCCUGUAGUCA
rnacentral:rRNA from 1 species